rnacentral:lncRNA from 1 species
CUCUGGUCCCACCACACGUGCCACUAAGCGUGCUCGCUUCACCACACGCGCCCCCUCAGCUCGUUCCCGUUUCACAAAUCGUUCACUUCCUAUGGACUCCACGAAUGAAUCCUCCGGGUCGGGUAUCCGAGCCCGCCUUUCGGGUUCGGGUAAGGAAAAAGAACACGAAAUUAGGGAUAGGGAUGAUGAAGAUGCUAAAGAUAAUGAUAAUGAAAGUGAAAAUGAUGUAGGGAUUUUGCACCCGAGCCCGCCGUUCGGGUUCGGGUAAGGAAAAAGAACACGAAAUUAGGGAUAGGGAUGAUGAAGAUGAUAAUGACAAUGAUAAUGAAAGUGAAAAUGAUGUAGGGAUUUUGCAUCCUAAUUUUACGUCAGCAAGUAGUGCACUUC